rnacentral:lncRNA from 1 species
AGGCGGAAGGUCCUACUGCUGGAGAUGAAGAAGAAUCUGAGAAGUCAGUAUCUGAGGUGAAUGAUGAGGAUGAUGAUGAGGAGGGCAGUGGCGAGGUUUCUUUUUAUUCUUUUUUGCGUCAUUGCCUUGUGGUUUGUGGUAAUUAUUUGCAUGAUAUUUACUUGGUAUUGUUUAUUUCAUGCAGGAGGAGGAUGAUGAUUAGAGAGUGGACUGAUAACAAUUUAUGUAGGUUUUGAUGAUUUGGAUCAUCUUUUGUAGGUGGUCUGGUCAUUUCCUGAUGAUAAACAAACAUGUUUCUUUCUUCCAGAAAAAUAUUUCUCUGCUCCCUCCGUAAAAUUGUUUUGUCUGUCCAAAACGUGAAUAGUUGAAAGAUGGGAGAUCUUUAUUUGUACUUCUAAAUCCAACUGCUUAGUUAAGGGGUGCUUAUCUUUUGUAGAGCUUUUAGUUUGAUUUAGUUCUCUUGUUGAAAUCUGGUUAAGUUUGUAUGAAUAUAAUUGGCUUAUCUUCCCAUUUCUGCUGUAUAUAUACAUAUGCUAUGAUGCGUCACACUUCAUUCAUGUUGCUGUGCUGUAUGUUUUGUUUUUUUUUUUUGUGAUUUUAAUGUUUUGGGUGUUGUGUUCUGCACCUGAUGUAUGUGUUUUUUCAAUUUAAUGUUGCAUUGUAUCAACAUUCAUACGUGUUUUUCUAUUUGAAGUUGAAUUAUCUCAACAUUUAUUUUGAACUAAUGUUUGGCGAUAUUAAAACGUAGUUUUAAAACGAUAAAAGUUGCUGCUUUAAAAUGUAAUUGAUUAGUGUUGCUUUAAAACGAUAAAAGUUGCUGCUUUAAAAUGUAAUUGAUUAGUGUUGCUUUAAAACGUAAUUUUAAUAAAACUUUAUCGAAAUUUUAUAAUGGUGAGGUAUAUCCUUCAUCGUGUAAUCAGUUUACAUGUGUAUUUUUGUUGUUGUUGGAUCAUUUGACGAAUUUUGACUGAUGAUGAUGGUUGAUUGUAUAGUGUUUGUUGGUACUUUUCCAGUCAUGUAAUGCAUAAAAGCAUGAUCUCACAGAUUAACUGUUUCUAUUUUAUAUACAAAAGUUGUUUGUAGUUUUUCUUUCUUGUAAAAGUAUAUUUUGAAUAUUUUUCCGUUGGAAUUGUUCUAUACUUGUACUAUAAUUAUUUCAUAUACUUAAAUUUGAUCCAUUUAUAAUCCCUAUAGAAGACAAUUUAAUAUACUUUUGAUGUAUAUUAAUAUUUAUAAAAAAUAUCUUAAGUAAUUAUUUUUUAAGAACAUAUUUUUAUAAAAGAAAUUAGAUAUUAGUCUUCUGUUUGUUAUCUAUAUUAUAAUCUAGGUCGUAUUAUUUGGUUAGGGUUUUUUUGUAAUUUUAGCAAAUGUUUAAAUGUAUAGACAUGAAUAUGUAAUGGUAGUUGGGUAUUAAAUGUAUUCGCAUAAAUAUGUAAUGGCAGUUGGAUAUUAAAUAUAUAGUCAUUAAUUUGUAAAUCUGACUAUUGGAUAUUUAAGUAUACAAUCAUACAUACGCAAUAUUUAGUUAUAAAUUUUCAAAUUGACCAUGAAAUUAUUAAGAAUGCAAUUAAAUUAAUUUAAUGAGUUGAACUAUAUGUGUUUGUAUUUGAAGUAGUUUUUGAAUAUUUGAAGUAGUUUUUGAUUUAUUUUUGUGUAUAGAAUGAACAUUUUAGUAAUUUAGCAUAUUUUAAUAUUGUAUUAUAUUAGUGCAAAUUGUUCUGUUCCUUUUAAAACUCAUACCAUAAGAUUUGUGUUUGGAUUGGUUGUGAAUUUUGUUAAAUUAUUUGUGUUAUAAUAUUCUUUUUUAUCUUGUUUAAAUAUAUAUAUAUAUAUAUAUAUAUAAAUAAAAAUAUAUAUUUUAAAAAUUGAAAAUAUAUAUUGUGUGUUGUUUUAGUGUGAUUAAAAUGAUUUUUUUGAAUAAAUUUCUGAUAUUUCAAUUUUCUUUUGUAUAUGAUAUUUUGAUUUAGUUAUAUCAUUUGUUGGUUUUUCAUAUAUUUGUCAAUAUAAGGUUAUAAUGUAAUUAUAUUAUAACAUUUUUUAUAAUUAUUAUUUUUAUAUAUAAAGGGAUUUCCUUUUAACUGUUUUUUUUUUUAUAAAUUUUAUCCUCAUAUUAAUAUUUAUUUUAUUAUUUUAUCAUUCUUCUGAGUAGUUACUAAAUAUAUUAUGAUUUUUAUAAAAUUAUAUUUUGAAAACUAUUCUUUUUUCUUUUUAAAACUAAUAUUUUAAAAAAAUUAAUAUCUGUUGAGUUUUCUUUUUUUUUUUUACAUGUUUUUUAUUAUUUUAUUUAAUUAUUAUUUUGUAACUACUUGAAUUUGAAAUGGUAAAAUUAAAAAAUAUUACUUAAAUUGAAAAUUGAGAAAAAAAAACUAAUUGAAACAUCAGAAAUAUAUAAAAAAUUCUUUCUUUAAAUGUUUUUAAGUAUAUACAAUUUUAUUCCUAUAGGUAAAUAUCAAUAAAUUUGUUUAGAAGAUCGAAAAAGAGAUAUUUAAAAGAAUAAAGAGUAGGAGGAAGAAAGGAUGAUGGUUUGUUUUGAUGAGAAUAGAAGAGGUAAAUGAGGGUGUAAAACACAGGAAAAUUUCCUGUUUAUAAACACAGAAAAAAAAAAAAACGAAAAUCAGUGUCGUAUUUCGCUCUUUGCUUUCGUACACCUCGUCUUCCACGGCACACUCAUUUUGUUCCACAAAUUCUUCACCCAAUGCAGCAUCGACGCAACUCUUUGCUUCUAAACGUGAGUCUCUCACCUCUAAUUUUGUUACUUCUUUCUUUUGCUUAGGCACAAGUUGCUUUAGGUUGUUAAGGUUCUUCGCAAUACACCUUCUUUUGUUGUCAAUUUUUAAUUUUAAUUAUUAUUCGUUGCAUGAAAUUAAACUGAUCAAUCGCAAUUCGGCUGUUGCUUGGAUUUGAGAAUUAGCUCUUGGCUUUCUGAAUUAAUUUCCUUAGCAAUGCAAUUGGGUUCAGUUUGCGUUUAAGUAUUGGUGGAUGUUGAGAAAGAAAGGACAUAGGGAAGAAAAGGGAUUAACAUGCUCUUAAGGAUAAGAAAAAAUAAUCAUAUUUUAUUAUAUUUAUUUUUUAUGUAAUAUUUUUCAUAAUUAAUAAUAAUUGGGAUGAAUUUUUUAUUAUUAUUUAAUGAUAUCAUGUUUAUUAUUUAAAAAUAAAAAUGUAGAGGUUAUAAGGUUUUUACAUGCAUCUGCUGUUGUAAUUAUUAUACUGAAAACUAUUUUUAUUUCUUUUAUUCAGAUGCUUAAAAUUGACUGGUUAUAUAAUUGAAAAACGAUCAAAAAUUGAAAACUGACCCAUUCUAACUUGUUACUUUAGAUUUUGAUUUGAGUAAGUAAUGAUUUAUUAUUAUGUUUUCAUUUAAUAAUAUUUGUGUAGAGUUAAUCCACAAGUAAUAAGAACCUAAAAGUAUUGUUUAAUUGUUUGAUGAUAAAAGAAUGAAGAUAUGAGAACGUGUAUUUUGUUACUGUGAAUGAAAAAUAUAACCAAGAUUAUGAAACAAAAUAUUAAUGAUAGUCAGAUAUGAGAGUGAAACUUGUUUACUAUGGUUAUCAAUUUGUUUUUAUUAAAAUUAGAUACUAAAGGAGCAUUAUAAUUUUUAAUAAUAAAAUUAUAUAAUUGAUUUAUAAAUGAGUGAAAAUUAUAAAUAAUUAAUUAUAUUAAAAUAGUUUAAGACAGUUUUUUUAUUUCAAUAAUAUUUUAUUAUAACAUGUUUAACAUUUUUUUCUCAUAAAUCACUUUGAUUUCUUUUGUAAAAAUAUUUAGUCUGUGUAAUUUAAAGUUUAUAUUAAAUUUAAAAAUAUAAUCUUUUGUAAAUAAUAGUCUUUUUUGUUGUUGAGCCAAUUUAUUAAAGUAAAAAUAUAAUCAAAUUUUUAAUUUUAUUUGGUAUUGAAUUCUUCUAUAUCUUGGAUGCAAAAUCAGUACUAUUAUCUUUUAAUUUUAACAAUUAUAUAGUUUUAUACUUAUUAAAACUAUUGGUGAAGUUUAUUUGAUGUUUUAAUUUAUAUGUUUUUUAAAACUUUAUUUUAUUUUUUACUAGCAUAUAUUUAAUAGUAAAAUAUUGAAUACACACAAAAUUAAUUUCAAAGUGUGUGAGUUUAUAUUCAGUGUUAUGAUAUUGGACUUUUGCCCAUAUGAUGCAUUUUCAACUUUUACUAGAUUAGCUUGAAAAACUUUUUACUCAGUGCAUAUCAUUUCACCAAGUAUAUCUUUAUUUUUUAAAACUCACUAAACAUUUUGAAAUUGGGUUUCCAAAUUUUGUAAUCACAUACACAAUGUUAUUUUCUUAUUUAGUUUAUUUUCUCAUAUUUGACAUUUGUUUAUAUUUUUUUUUAUUUUGGAUUUUUUAUUAUGUCAUUUCUCUGUUUUUUAUUAUCUCAAAAUUGCAUUAUUUAUUAUUUUUAUCAUCAUUGAAUAGUUUUACAUAAAUUAAAUUAAUUUCAUUAAUCUUUUUUUGAAAAUGUAAUUUUUUAUUGUACAAGAUACUGUUUUGAAACAAUCAAAUUCAAGAAAGUUUAUUUUAACAGUGUUUUUCUACUUUUAAUUUUUUUUAUUUCUUCCCUAUAUUUUUUAAUAUAAACAAACUCAGGGAGAUGUUCUUAUGUAUAAAGUUUUUCAUCAUUUCACAGGUGAACAACAAAAAAUCACUAGUGAAGACAACUGAAAAAGAAACAAGUUCUUUAACUUCUGUCAUAUACAAAGAAAUGUCUUUCUUAUAUACCUCUACCUUAUUGUAGAGGAGAAUAAUGACUGUAUAUAAUCAUAUCUCACUGCUGCUUAAACAUUCAUACUACUUAAUCAUAUUUGCUUUACUUAUAAUAUGUUCUAUGAAAGAAACAUUUCAUAACUAGUUGAAUGAAAUUGGUGUAUGCAUUUGCUAAGAACAUAGUUCUUUAUUGCAAUGUAGGCACAUAUAGUUGAAAUUUCAUAGGUUCUUUCAGUCAUUAUUUUCAAGAAAUGGAUAAUCUGUGUAUCCAACAACAGGAUCACUGGUGUAAAAAGUUCUUCUAUCAGGCUUGUUCAAUUCAGCAUCCAUUUCAAAUCUCCUUGGUAGAUCUGGAUUAGCCAAAAACAAGCGUCCAUAAGCCACCAAAUCUGCACCAUCAUCGGCAACCACUUUGUUUCCACCACUCUUAUUGUACCCCCCUGCAACAAUAAAGGUUCCACCAAAAGCCUUUCUGAUAGGCAACAAGGACAUAUUGGUCUCACACUUUUCAAACAUUGUAAUCAUCCUGGGUUCAAUGACAUGACAAUAAAGAAUGUCCAAUUUGCUUAAGGAUUGUGCCAUAUAAAUGCCCAAUGCUUGAGGGUCAGAGUCUUUGCAAUCACAAUAGUUAGCAAAAGGAGACAGUCUAACACCAACUUUCUCUGAUCCAAUCUCAUCAACUAUUGCCUUCACAACCAUGAGUGGAAAUCGACAACGAUUCUCUAAGCUACCUCCAUAUUCAUCAUCUCUGUCGUUCACAUGGUCUUUAAGGAACUGCUCAAUUAAGUAUCCAUUGGCUCCAUGUAUCUCCACACCAUCAAUGCCUGAAUAAAUUACCAGUUGAAUCACACAUAUAUUGACUUUGUCACAUUAUCUUCUUCAUUAACAUGAAGUUUUUAGUAACACAAUUUUUUAUUAAAUAUGAUUGAGUAUAAAUAUAUCACUUAAGCACUUUAGCAUAUCACAUGCAUGCAAGUAUGUAGGUAACAUUUUGUAGAGUCAAAUCACAUUUUGAAUGAGGAACUAGAAGAAGAAGAGGAAUCUGUUGAGCAAAAGUUACUACCAGCUUCUAUAGCAUUUUUUGCUGCCAUUCUGAAGUCAUUGACAAUCAUAGGUAUUUCAUCUGUUCUGAGAGGACGUGGAGGGGGGUAUUUAGUGCUGCUACCUUCAAUUGCCUUGUUUGUACUUGAAAUUGGAGGUUCUCCAUUUGGCUGAUACACUGUUCAAUAUAUAUUAUCAAUGUUUACCGCAUCAUUCGUGCAAAACUUCAAAAUAAUUAAUGAAGGUUGAAAUUUAAAUGAAAGUUCAGAGACACCAUCAUAUGCACUAUAGUACUGUCAUAUAGAGUUUCUAGUGAAGGGGAAUAAAUACAAAUAUGAAUACCAUAGUUGGAGACUCUUCCAGCAUGCCAAAGUUGGCAAAAGAAUAUACCCCCUUUCUGGUGAACAGCUCUCACAAUUGGUUUCCAUGCUUCCACUUGUUCUCUUGUCCAAAUGCCUGGUGUAUUUGGGUAUCUUUAACAAGGAAAAAAGAUGCAACAAAUGAAUUAAUCAAAUUUCUGGGUACCAAAGCUUUUUGUGGUUGACCAGUUUUGAAAAACAUGUUAGUUUAUGUUUCUUCCUUUUUGCCAAUGUGUCUAGUUUCUGAAAUUCCUAGGAAUCAUACAUUGAGGUUAUUCACUUGAGAAAAAUACAGAAAAAAAUGAAAAGAAUGGAAGAUAAGACUACCCUUGUGCAGUUUCUGACACCCCUGAGGCUUCUCCAAUCAAAAGUCCACCCUUUGUUGUUCGUUGAGAAUAAUAGAGAGCAGCAUGAGGCUGAGCCACGAAGUUGUAAGAUCUUGUUCUUGUUAAUGGUGCCAGAACAAUCCUACAGCAUGGAACACAUAUUAACCAUUUCUCUAUACACUGAGUUAGAAUUUGGUUUGAGGAACCAAUAUGUGGUGAUCAAGGUAAUAGCCAUGUCAAUUUACCUGUGAGAUAGAUUGAAUUUUCCCAUCUUGAAAGGGGUGAGAAGGGGUAUCACUUCCCUUCCAUUAACCACCUUCUCCUUCUCUUCCAUUGUCUCCUUGUUCAUCAUCCUUUUCCCACCUUGCUAAUUCAGAAUCUGUGAUGGAAUAUGUGGACUCUUGCUCUUCAUUCUUAUAGUAAAUCAAAAUAGUUGUCUUUUUAACUUUUUUUUUAUCUUUUUUCUGAAAGUCAUAAUAAAUCCAAACGAAUUUAUGUGGACUGUUAACUACUAUAUAUUUUGCCUUGAGUUAAUCAAUUUGCAUUUAUUAUUAUAUCUUUUUUUUAUUAGAAAUAUAUUUGUUUUUAAUACUAUUAAUUGUUUUUCACAGGAUUUAAGAGAAUGAAUUCUUUAUUACUAUUUACACUUUUAUUUUUCCAACUAACAUUUUAUUUUUAUUUUUCUAUCUAGUGUCAUUUAGAAAGUAAAAAUAAAUAAAUUAAUAAAUUAAAUAAAAAAUAUAGUUUUUUUUUAAUUUUUUAUUUACUUUUAAAAUCGUGCUAGACAGAGAAAUAAAAACAAAAAGAUGUUAGAUAUGAAAGUAAAAAACAAAUGGUGAUAGAUGAGAAAAUAAAAGUAUAAAUAGUGCUAGACGAGGAAUUGAAUCAUUUAAGGUAUUUUAUUUCUUUUUCAAUAAAUUUAUUAUGUGUAAUAAUGUAUUGACAACCCAUAUUUUUUAUACAACUACAUUACAAUUCUUAAUAUUAUUAUUUUAAUAUUUUUUUAUAUCAUUUAAUUUUAAAUUUACCCUUUAUCAUAUAUAUUUAUUUCUAAAUUCAUUACAUCAAGACUUGUAUACAACUCAAUGGGUAGUCAAAGUAUCAUUUUUCUUUUGUUAUUUCAUAUAAAAAUUGAAAUUUUAGAUAUUAUUAAAUACUAUUUAAUAUUAUUAAUGUUAAUAAAAAUUAUUAAUGUUAUUAAAUAUUAUUAAUGUUAUUAAAUAUUCUUAAUAUUAUUAAAUAUUAUCCAUAUUAUUAAUAUUAAUAAUAUAAUACUAAUUAUAUUAAUUUUAUAAUAUUAAUAAUAUGUAUACUUAUUAGUUAUGAUUAAAUAUUAUUUAUGAAUAUUAAUUAUGAUUUUGUAAUUAUUGAUAUUAUAAUAAUAUUUUUAAUAUUAAGUAUAUAAUUAUUAUGAUAAUAGUUGGUAGGUAGUAGAGAUCCGUAGGUAAAAAUUGGUAGGUAAUAAGAUUCGUUAGUAAUAGUUAGUAGGUAAUGUUGAAUUUACCUACAAAUUCAUAAUCUGUAAGUAAUAUCCACAUUCCGUAGGUAGUGCUGAAUUUACCUAUGAAUUCAGAUCCAUGGAUAAAAAUUCAUAGAUAAUACUAUUUUUUUUGUAGUGAGAAAGAAAAAUAAUUUUUUACACAAGUUAUUUGAAGUUUUUAUUUUCUUAUCAUUUUAGAGUUAUUGUCCUGAUAUUUGUUGAAAAAAAUUAAAAUUAUGUUGAUGAGUAUCUUAUCACGAAUAAUUGAAAGUGAGUUUAGUAUAUAAUAUAAUCAUUGUUUUUAGUUAUUCUUCACUGUUAUGCCAAUUGAUGUCCACUGCUAUGAAACAUAAUCUCCUUCCCUUUUUAAAUGAUGGCCAUUUUUGAAUUUAGCUUUCUAAUUCAUUUUUCCCUUCACAUACUUUGAAUGAUUUUGUUGUGCAUUGUAUUUGUAGAGAAAAGAAACCGUUGACACUUUUCUCUCUCUCUUUUUUAUCAUUUGAGUUUUAUUUGUGCAUUGUAUUUAUCUCCUUAAAGAAAAUAUUAUGAGUGGGGAUAACUCUAAAUCAUAUUACAAUUAAAAAAAUAAAUAAUUUUAAAAUUGCAUUGUGCUACAUUAUAUAUGUAAACUAGUGUAAUGUGUGUCAUUAUAUUUGUAAACUAGCGUUUUUAGUGUGUAAUGAUCAAAAUAACAUUUUAAAUAUAUUAUAGGUUGAAGAUUUCACAUUAUUUAAAAAUUAAAACAUUUAAUAGUAUAUAAAUAGAUACCAACUUCACUUUAAAAACCGAUUUUAUGAAAUUUAGUUAUACAAAUUAAAAAGAUUAAUUCUUUAUAUUUUUUUAUAUUUAAACUCAAAAUUAUGUUUAUGUUAGCCAAAUAAGAUAUUUCAAUGUGAUUAGAAGUUUGUUGACAUUAAUAAAAAAAAAAUCAAUAAUUUAUAAAAGGAAUGGCUUGGUGGGUAUGAGAGAAUUAUAAAAGUUGGAGGAAGAGUGGAGAAGGUCUUCUUUUUAACAUAUCUUUUUUUAUCACAUUGGUAAGUGGUGAUAGGCCAUAAGAUUUGGGUGGAGAGUGAAAGCUUUCAUGAUAGACUACAUUUAUUUAGCAUAUCUUAAUUAAGGAUUUCAAUGUUCUCUUUUUCUUAAAGUGUAAUCUUCUUCUAACACUUCUUAAUUGUUGUAAAAAUGGAGAGAAGUAUAAUAUAUUCUCAAUACUAAGAUAUGCCAAAUUUUCAGUAUUUUUUUUUCACUAAAGAUAUAAUAAAGAUAUAAGAGACUUUCAACUUGAUAUAAUGAGAUUUGACAAAGUUCAAGGUAAAAUAUUACGUGAACAAAAAGUUUGACAAAACAUGAUAAAAUUACACUCAAUUUAGAUACGUCCAAAGUCUUUACCGUGAAAAAUCAAUAAUUUGAGUAAUUCAAUAACUUCAACAUAUAAAGACUUUUGAACUUCAAGAAAAAUAAAAAAACUACAAUCUUACUUCCACGAAAAAUACUAAUAUGGAUUAAAAAAUCUUAAAGAAAAAUAAAGAAAUUACAACCUUACUUCCACGAAAAAUAACAAUAUGGACUAAAAAAUCGAGACAUCCUCUAGCAAUACCAUUUGUAUUGAUCUUUUGUCCAAUUAAUAUAAAAAAAACUUUGAAAGAACUAAAAUAGACAAAAAAAAAAAAAACUCUUUCCACCUUGUGACAACAUAAAGAAAUUUUAAACAUGGAAAAUAAAAAAUGUCAUCAUGUAUUUUGUGGAAGCAUUACCUAUUAUGCUUAUAUAGCCUUCGAUAAUAUAGAAAAACACAUUGUUUCUAUGUAUACGAGUUUAACAAAUGUUAAAUCUAAUUAUGAUGGAGAUUGUAUUUAAGGUAUGAUAAUUGUAUUUUAUCUAAUGAAAGCUUUUUGUAAACCAUUCGUUUAAGCAAUGUAUUGUGAAAAAAAGGAAUGCCCCUCAUAAUUAAUUGUCAAAUAGAAAGAGUUAUAUAUAUUAAGGAAUGUGAAAAUUAUAUUAGUAAGCAUAACUAUUACCAAUUAUUAUUACUGACUUAGUAAGUUAUUUUCAGGUUUUUUGAUCAUGAUGGGUUAUUUUUUUUGUUUUCACCAAAAUGGAGUCUGUUUAAAAAAAUUACAAAUUUAGACAAGUCGUGCCAAUUCGGCACGACUUCAUAUGCAGAAGUCGUCCCAAUUAGGCACGACUUCUGCCCUGUCAUACUAGUCGUGUCAACUUAGCACGACUUCUGUCACGUCAUAAUUUUAUUUUAUUUUUAUUUAAUUGUUUAUAUAUUGGGUAGUAAGUUAUGUAAUGUUAAAAAUUAAUUUGAUACAUAAUUUUCUAAGAGUGUUAGUUUUAAGGAACAAAAAAUUGGAUAAUUGUGUAUGGAUCAUGUUUGAAUUGAAUGAAUAAAUAAAUAAUUUACUUCUAGCUCAACUUUAUAGUUUUAUUUUAUAUCUUGUAAUGAAUCUUACUAAUUUGUUUAGUUCUAAUUAAUAAUCUCUUCUCAUCAUUACGUGUUCUGUAAAAUCAUUACUUCUCAAGCUAUUUAUUUUGCAAAUUCACAACAAUAAUUCUCUAUUUAUUUUCCAAAUACAAUAAAUUUUCAUUUAUGUAUUUAUUUCCAAAUUCAAUAACAAUUUUCUUCAUUUUUUAAUUAAUCAAAUAAUCAAGUUAUUGUAUUACAUUACCGUCAAACAUGAUCCAUACACAAUUAUCCAAUUUUUUGUUCCUUAAAACUAACACUCUUAGAAAAUUAUGUAUCAAAUUAAUUUUUAACAUUACAUAACUUACUAAAAAAAUAAAAAAGAUUAUGACGUGGCAGAAGUCGUGCCAAGUUGACACGACUUUAGUAUGACAGGACAGAAGUCGUGCCUAAUUGGAACGACUUUUGCAUAUGAAGUCGUGCCGAAUUGGCACGACUUGUCUAAAUUUGUAAUUUUUUUUAAACGGACCCCAUUUUAGUAAAAACAAAAAAAAAAAAACCCCAUCAUGGUCAAAAAACCUUAUUUUCAUUUAAGUUAAAAGAAUUUGCAAUGUAGUUAAAAAUGAUAAUAACAUAAUCUAUACCUAUAUAUAAAGGGGAUUCCUCUCUUUAACUGUUCUCAAUUAUUUUCCUAUUUUAUCCUUAUAUUAAUAUUUAAUUUUAUUACUUUAUUAUUGACAUUGCGUCAUUUUCUAUUUUUUUAAAAAUAUAUUAAAACAGUUAUCACCACUACAAGAAAAUUAUUAAAUAAAAAUUAAUUUUAGUGACUAAAUUAGAGAUCAUUUUAUAGACUAAAAAAAUAUUGGUUUCUAUUAUUGAUAAAUAAUUUCUAAAUUGAUAUCUAAUUAGAUACCAAGAUUUUUGCUACCAAAUUUAGAAUCUAAAUAAUUGGUAGUUAAAAUCUUGGUAGCUAAUUAGAUAUCAUUUUAAAAAUUAUUUAUCAAUAAUAGAAAUUAAUUUAGAAACUAAUAAUUUUUUUGUCUCUAAAAUAUUUCUAAUUUAAUUACUAUAACAAAUUUUUUAUCUUUAAAAUUAGUUUUUAUUUAAUUUUUUUCUUGUAUGGCACAUGCAAUUUUGAAUGUAGAACAAUUUUUUUUUAAAAAAAAUUAAUUUUCUAAAAUAUAUCUUUAUUUCUUCAAUUUUUACGGACAAUUGUUGUUUUCUAAUUUUGAAUUUUUGGUAUUUUAUCACCGUAUUUUCUCUUUUCGCUUUUUCUCACUUUAUCUCUCUUCUUCCUCAAAGAUACAUAUAAUAAUAGUAAAAAAAAAAAAAAAAAUUUGGAUAUAUUCGCUCUCUGCACCUGUGUUCCCUAGUAUAUAAAAAAAAUGAUUAGUGUAAUUAUUGUGCUCAUAUUUUUUUUAAGCCACGUCCAUUUUUAAUUUUUUUAAGUAAUUUUUAAAGUCAAUUAUUAGUAUUUAAUUAUAUAAUCAAGAGUUUUUCCCUGGAUUUGUAAAGUCGAAAUAAAUAUAUUAAAACACGAGUGCAAUUAAUAAUGAAGAAAAGGAAAAAUUGGUACGUCAUGAUAAUAUUAUUUUUUAUUUCACUAGACACCCAUCUCCCUCCCACAAACAAAAUAUAUAUAUAUAUAUAUAUAUAUAUAUAUAUAUGAAUACCAUAAAUAGGGACAUUUUAAGUAACUUAAUAGUGUUUUGGAUGGUAGUCUUAUCCACCAAAAGUUUUCAGACACAUUUGUUCCCCAUCAUACUCAUAAUUUCAAUUACAAUAAUAUUACAACUUAUUAUUAUAUGACAUUAAAAUUGUAUUACUAUAUUACUUUUAACAAGGAUGUCUUUAGAAUUUUUUAACAUUAAAAAUAUAAACCAUUAAAAAAUACCUUGCAUUAUAAUAUUUGCAUUUUAUUAUAAAUUCAAAAUAUAACUUACUUAUUUAAAAUAUUUAUUUAUUAUUAAUGUAAUUACAAAAUAACUAGUUUUGUCAAACAAACCUUAAUUAUUUGAAGGUAGCAACUAAGAGUGAGAAUGAAAUGUUUAUAGUGUUAAUGAAUUUAGUUCUUUCCUUGGAUUCAAACAUCAAAUUCUUUGUGAAAUAUCAAUUAUAUUAAAUCCAUUGGGCAUUAGCAAGUUUUAGUGUUAUUUUCUUGUUGUUCAAUCAUAUAAAUAACCUUUCUAAAAACAUUGAAUUAUAUAUUGGUUGAGAUGGAGAAGGGUUGGUAAAGAGAAAAAAGUAUUCAUGCAUUUAGCACAGUUUGCAAAUAUAUAUUCAAUUAUUAUGAAUGGCAAUGAUAACAUUAUCUUAUCUUAUUACUAAAGACAAUCCACUGAUUCCAUUCUUUGUAUGCCCAAUAGUUAGAGGCAUGUCUGCCCUUCUUUCAGGGACUACUUCAUUAUUAUGCACUUGAAUACAGAUAUCUAACUACAUUCAAUUUCCAUUAUAAACUUUUUUUAAACUUAAUUAUCUUUUUUCAUUUCAUUUAAUCCAUUUACUAAUAAAAAUUUAAAUAAAGUUCCUCAAUAUUGAAAAUGUUAUUUUAAAUUUUAAUUGAAUAUCUCAAUUAUUAAAAAUAAAUCUUUCCCAUAUUCAAAUUAAUGUAACUGGACUAAGCCAUGAAUAACUAAUUUUAAUUCAACAUAUGAGAAUCUCUUAUUAACUCAUGCUCAUGCUUGUGCAUAAUAUUAUACAUUUAUGAAUGAUUAUGCAUUAUAUUAUAUAUUUAUCAUAUUAUAUAUUUAUGGAUCAUCUUAUAACGGAUCCUAUAAUAAAAUUGAAUAAAAUUUAAAUAAUUUUAUUAAAACAAACUUUAAAUGAGUAUAAUAUUACUAGCGAAAACACGUAUAUUGUUCUCUUUUACCAACUUUCAAAAUGAUAGAAAUUUAACAUAAAUAAUUUUAGAUGAGUCAUAAAUAAAAAAGUAAAAAAUAACAUAUGGAAAAGAAAAAUGAUGAAUUUCUCUGGUAGAGUCUCUCUUAUUCCAUUAGUAGUUUUGGGAUCGAAGAGUGUGAUGAUGUUCACGUUGCUUGAAAUGGAGUGAAGAGAGUGAUUGAAAAUUAAUGUUAUUUUAUUUGAUAUGUGAGAUUUGGAGUAGAAACAUGUGAGAAUAUACACUCUCUUUCUUCCGGUUGUUGUCUUAAAAUAAAGAAUUAAGAAAAGAGUGAAAGAAUCAGUUUACCUAUAAAAAGUGUACAUUAAUAUUAAAUUAAAAAAUAGUUUUAUUUUUUAAGUAAUUCAUAUGAAAUGACCAAAUACUUUAUUGUACUAAUAAAAUGAGAUAUAUUAAAUAAGGAUAAAAUAAAAAAAAAUUGUGUAAAAAAAAAAAAAUAGUAAAAUAUCCCUUUUAUAUAAUAAUAUAUUAUUAUAAAAUAAAUUUUAAAUAUAACUUAACCAGUAAUUUUAUAUGUGUAGUACUGAAAUCUCCAAGAGCUUAUUAUUAAAUUGAUUUUUGUAGUCAUAUAUUCUAAUGAGUCAUAUAAUCUACUAUUUUUAUCAUUUCCUUUUCACAAUUGCUACUCUUUCUUGCUCAUUCUAUUUUUUUUUUUUAGAACUAUGCUUAGCCAACUCAAGCUUGACUAUCUACCAUCCAAAACCUUCAUCCAACAUUAGAGAAACCCUUUUUCUUAUCCUAUACACAUUAAACCAAUCUUUAUGAUCCAAGAAGUCAAAACCAACAACACCAUAAAGUCACUAUAGGGACCUUGUAGCUUUUAACCCAUCAAAUCAACUCCAUAAUUCAAAUCAACCAUACUAUUAAAUUUCCCUAAUCAUACACAUCAAAACUCCACCAACCUCACAAAAACCAACAAGUAUACACUAAAAACACUUACUUCACCUAAACAUAGCUUCCGCAAACCUCCACCUUUGAGUUCUUCCAAAAACUCAUCAAGAACAUUAGAAGAGAUACUUGACUAAAACUCACAACCAUUCCCUACCUCUCAAACUGAACCGCACAAAGGCACCUAUAACUCAACCAAACUAAUCUAGGAGCAAGGUUAUUUACCUUAAAACCUUUCUUUUUGCUCUUAAAGUGAGUAAGAAGUGUGGUCAGUAUUUUCUAUUCUGACCCAAAUAUAGUUCUUGUAUUUUUUUUGGGUUUUUUUUUGUUUUAGAGCAAUGUCUUCAAAAGGGUUCUCCUCCUAAACCAAGAACAGCCAAUUUAAUAACUCAAAUAAAUUAUAUGCAAUAAGUAGAAAAUUACUAUUGGAAAUUCCAAUCUGACAUUGCAAGUUAAGUUAAAAAGAAAAGGGAAACAAAUAUUUUAGGUAUAUUAACUUUGAGAACUAAAUAUGGUUAAAAUUACUAUAUUAAAAAUUGAAAGUUAUGGUAGAAUGAUAUUCUAAUUAAUGUAGCUAAGGGAAAAAGAUUAUAGAUAGUCACACUAUUUUCCUAUUAGAAAAAAUAAUAUUAAUCUUUCAACUUCAAAGGUUAAAACAAGAAAAUGAAAGUAUAGAAGAAUAUUAUAAAAGAAAAGGAAGUGAAAUCCAUCAAAUUGAAAUAGAAGAAAGCUUGAAGCCUACCAUAGCAAAAUCCUUAAAUAACUUGAAUCAUAACAUCCAAAACAUAGUACACCUACAAAACCAUAUAUCUUUAAAGAAAUAUUUUUUAUAGAGAACAAAAUAAAAUAAUUUUCAAAAUUAUUUAGUAAGAAAAAACAUAUAUUAUUUAAACAAUAAAAUUAUUAGAAAGGAAAAAUAUUUGAAAAAAACAAAAAACUUAUAUUUAAAAAAUAUGAAAAUGUUGAAAAUAAUAAGAAGAAUAGAAAAAUUAUUUUGAAAAUAUAACCACGUUGUUUUAUGAAAUGCUUUUAUUUCAUAACAACUUCCUUUUAUGUCGGGAAACAAAGUUCUGGCAGCACUCUCGGUUGUUUUUCAACGGCCUAAACAAAAAUGUACCCUGUUUCAUUGUCAAUACAGUUUAUCCUGCACCUAAGUUUUUCUAAGUUUCUUCCUGUUUUCGUAAGUUUUUCUUUACUUACUGCACCCAAAAUGUUAUGAAAAACAAAUAUAUCCCUAAUAUUCUUAAAAAACUCUAAAAUGUACACAACACAAUACCCAGAUCUACAGAAGAAUCCUAAUAUUAAUUGAUAGUCUUUUCUAAUUAUCAGUUGUUUCUCUUUAUAAAGAAUAAUAAUUGGGUGUCUUUUCUAAUUAUCAGUUGCUUAUCUUUAUAAAAGAGAAUAAAGAUGUCUUUUCUAAUUAUCAGUUAUUUAUCUUUAUAGAGGAGAAUAACCUUUAUUUUAUCUUUGUGCGUUAUGAUUCUAGUAUUUAAUUAUUGAUUAUUUCUUUCUUUAGUUAAACCCUAGAAUGAGUGUACUAUUUGUAUAUAUUAAGACCAUUUAUUUUGAUUUGAAUAAUAAGAAAAAAGAGAUAUUCAUUUUCAUAUCUUUUGUAAGUUUACUCUUUUGUUCAUCUCUGUUCUAUUUUGUAAUACUUGUCUUUCUUCUUCCUUUACACGCAUAGUGCUCUCUUAACGAUGGCGCCACUCCACCUCUUGAUAUUUCUCCAUCCCUAAAAUGUGAUUAGUUGUGUCUUCGCUGUGUUGAUGGUUACAUAUGUUGAUGUCAGACAGUACAAUCCACUAGGUUUAAAAAUAAGGAAAUUCGCACUUUGUUUUUUUGUCAGAGAAUUGAAUCCACAAAACUCCCAUAUUCAUGCAUCCAUAAAUCAUUCAGAGUCCGAUAAUUUUCCCAUUGCAUAGUAUGUUUUUGGAUUUCAGAAUCCAAAUAAAAAAAAUACAUUAUGGAUUCAAAAAUCAGUAAUAAAAGGUCGAGACUAAUUUAGGAAUUUUAAAAGUUAUGAGGGUGCAGAAAGAAAAACGUAGGGGUUCAAAAAGAGACUUCCCAUUGUCAAAUGGUUAGAGAUAGUUGUAAUACUACUGCAGUCAGAAAAUUUCUUCAUGCACCUCCAUGGAAAAAGAAACUUAGAAUUUUAUCCUCUUCUUUAUUGAAGAUCCCACCUGCAACUUUCAUUGUGUCUCUUGGUUCAAUCACAUUAACUUUCACUACCAUAACUCCCCACCUUCAACACUACUACUACUGCACACAUAAAUUGUAUUCUUUAAAUAAAGUUGAAGAAAAAAUUGUAUUCAGAAUAAAGAAAUUGUAUUUUUUAAAUAAAAAUAAAUUGUAUUUUUUAAAUAAAAAUAAAUUGGUAAUCCUUUAAAUAAUAUUAAUGUAAGAGUCAUGUAAAUAAGAAAUUUCAACAGUGUUAAUGUGAGGAAAAUAUGCUUGAUCAUUUUUAUGUUACCGGAGACCCAUUGUUAUAGGUUUUGCUGUAAGUGUACGUCUGGACAUGCUCUAAUUACGCCUCCACUUCCUAAGCUUCAAACACAAAUAUUCCCAAACAACAACCACAAAAAACAAAUCUACAAUUAUUUAUUCAUUUAUUUCCACUAAUUUAUCGUUAUUAGUUAUCGUCAUACAAAUUUUCAAAAUUAAGCCAUUAAUAAUGCAGUUAGUUAGCUAGCUUAGUUUAGUAAGUGUACAUAAAUGCUAUUAGAUAAUUUCAAUAAAUUGUAAUUGUUUGGAUUUAAUAUACGGGUAAAUCUAUAAAUUGAUUGUUAAAAAAAUUAAAAGGUAAACAGCAAGAACUCUAUGACCGAUUUUGCUACAAUACUUAAUGUUAUGGUUUUAUUAGUUUUUUAUUUAAUCAACGUAUCAGUGAAAUUUGAUAGCAUUUAUCAAAAUUAAUGUAUCUUCAUCAUUAAGAAAUAUAAUAUAAUAAAUUCAAAAUGCAACUAUGGUCAUUCUUCUAAAUGAAAAAACAACAUUUUGAAUUUUUAAAGAGAUGAAUUUAAUACCUAAAAGGAGGGUGCUCAUAUUUUGAUUUCUGAUAAAAUUUCACUGAAUUAAUAUAUUUCAGAAGGAAUUUAUCGCCCUAAAAAUAAAUUAUACUUAAACUAAAUUUCACUACUUUUAAAAUUAAGCUGCAUACAGGUCACAAAAAUUAAUCAAUUUUUUCUAAAUUAACUUAAUGAGAAAAUGUUAUAAAGAAGUGAAGUAAAAUUCGUAUUUAGGUAACACGACAUGAACACGAGUUUAUAUAUUAUAUAAUUAUAAAUUAUAUAAAUUGAUAAUAAAAAUUUAUAUGCACAAGUAUGUUCCAGAUUUCCAAGACUCGUAAUCGGUCCUCCGAGACUCGUAAUCGGUCCCCCGAGACUCGUAAUCGGUCCCGAGACUAGUUCAUAGUGGAUAGAAUAUAUUACUCAGACAUUUUCAUAUACAAAUGUUAUUUUAAUGAAAGAAAGUAAACUUAAAGUUAAAAAAAA